GAUGAACGCUGGCGGCGUGCCUAACACAUGCAAGUCGAGCGAUCUUCUUCGGAAGAGAGCGGCGGACGGGUGAGUAACGCGUGGGUAACCUGCCCUGUACACACGGAUAACAUACCGAAAGGUAUGCUAAUACGAGAUAAUAUGCUUUUGUCGCAUGGUAGAAGUAUCAAAGCUCCGGCGGUACAGGAUGGACCCGCGUCUGAUUAGCUAGUUGGUAAGGUAACGGCUUACCAAGGCGACGAUCAGUAGCCGACCUGAGAGGGUGAUCGGCCACAUUGGAACUGAGACACGGUCCAAACUCCUACGGAGGCGAGCAGUGGGGAAGUAAUUGCACGAUGGCGG
rnacentral:rRNA from 1 species